rnacentral:sRNA from 1 species
GCUGGGUGCAGUGAGCAUGCCUGUAAUCCUAGCAACUCAGAGGCUGAGGCAGGUGUAUUGCAAGUUCAAGGCCAGUCUCAGCAACAUGGCGGGACCCUGUCUCAA